rnacentral:rRNA from 1 species
ACGAACGCUGGCGGCGUGCUUAACACAUGCAAGUCGAGGGCUCCCAGCAAUGGGGGACCGGCGAACGGGUGCGUAACACGUGAGCGACCUGCCGAUCUGCGGGGGAUAGCCGGCCCAACGGCCGGGUAAUACCGCAUACGCUCUUCGGGCUUCAUGGCCUGAUGAGGAAACUUCCGGGGCGGAUCGAGGGGCUCGCGGCCUAUCAGCUAGUUGGCGGGGUAACGGCCCACCAAGGCGACGACGGGUAGCUGGUCUGAGAGGAUGGCCAGCCACAUUGGGACUGAGAAACGGCCCAGACUCCUACGGGAGGCAGCAGUGGGGAAUAUUGCGCAAUGGCCGCAAGGCUGACGCAGCGACGCCGCGUGGGGGAGGAAGGGCUUCGGCUCGUAAACCCCUGUUGCCCGGGACGAACAUGGCUUUUCGAAGCCACUGACGGUACCGGGUGAGGAAGCACCGGCUAACUCCGU